ACUGAAAUGUCUUUGUUUUGUGCAUUUGAUUUGAGUCAGGCCUUAACAAGGCAGGUGCACAGACAGGUGAGGAGGCUUGUGGCUUACAGACUGUCAGUAAUCACUGGCCAUCACAUGGAAAACCACUCAACAAAUAAAACAGUGAGAAGAAGACAGACAUUACAGUAGCCCUGUCAAAAAUAGCUGGAUUUCACAAAGUUCAGGGGGAGUUAAGUGAGAUGAAUAAGCUGCAGAGACAGCUGGGAGCACUGAGGACCUUUUGGGAAGUGGAAUCUUGCAAGGAUAACAGUGUUUGGGAGCUAUAUCAAGAAUACCAUGCAAUGCUGAGAUGAUCUAGAAGAGAUCCACUGACCUGCUGGAAAUUACAGAGGAAGGGAUUGAAAAUGAAACUAUGCAGGUAAAAGCUGGCCUGUGUGCCUUUACUUUAGCUUGUAAAAAUGGUAUCCACAAUUUCUUACCAAAGUAAGUGUAUUCUGAAGUAGAGAAGUCAAAAAAAUUUGCAGUUAAAAGCAGCAAAAUGUUUGAAAAUCACUUACCUGCAUUCCAAAGAGCAGUGAGGGUGGAAAGAAUGAAGAAAGAAACGUCUAAGCCAAUGAAUUUCAUAUUUUGUCCAGAUGAUUCAGGAUGGCUGAUUGUGCUAGUCUUCGUGCUAGUCUGGGAAAAGCCUUUAGUGGAAACGGGUGUCCAGAAAUAAACAAGAUUCUCUCUGUUCAAAGGUUUGUUGUAAAUUACUGAAGCAAAACAAACUGAAUGAAAUGCUCCAUUUCAGAGGUCAUCUCCAAUCAAGGAAAAGAUUGAAGGGGAGAUAGCCACUGCAACUCCUUCACAUUAACAGUCAAGUUUUUCUGAAAGGGAGGUAGAUGUUUAUUGUUUUACAAGCGUUUCUGCUUCAAAGCUCAAGGCCACGGGGUCAUUGGCAAAAGUUCUAUGCUUUAAUUUUGCUGGAGGAACUAAAACCUGUUAUCACUUAGAAGAAUGAUAAAGAAUACAUGCUGACAGUACAGUUCAGUUCAGAAGAUAAUGAGAUCUAGAGGAAGCAUGCUUACUGCACUGGAUGUGACAGCAUGAGGGCUGAUUUAAGUGAAGGCAGAUCCCUCCUCUUCCCUAAUUUUAAGGGGUUAAAUUGAAGGAAACUCACCCUUUUUCAUCAUUUUAAGGGCUUAAAUCAGAGGGUUCCCCUCCAUUUCAGAGCACUUCUGCCUGUUCCCCUGCACCACGUCUCUCGUGUGAGAGCAGUCCUUGCAUAUAUGCAGUUUUGGAGGUGGAAUUGAAAUUCCAGCAAUGGCAUCCAGGCAGAGAAUGGCAGCAAUGACAGCUCCUUUCCAUAGGAAGGAAAGCACGUAGUCCCAGUGUCUCAGGUGCAGGUGACAGGCUGUCCUGGGGAGGCGAAGUCCCCAAAUCCUCUCUGUCCUGGCAGCUUUUGUCUGGGAGCAAUCCUCGGAUAUAUUGAAUUUUGUGGGUGGAAUCCGAGCGGCGGGCACAUGAGCAGAGGCUGAGAUGACUCGCUGGUGGCACCUGGUGACUCACAGCGCUACUGCAGAGCAGAAAUGAGCCCUUGAGCAGCUCUUGCAAGGGAUAUUCGUGCUCAGUGACUGCAAACCAUCAACAUGCAUAGGAACAAGGAACUGUAGGCUGGAGCUGGGCUCUGGAAGCAAGGGAGCUGGAAGUGUUUAUUUAGAUAAACCCAUAUGUAGAAAUUCCCUUUUUGUCUCAUCGGUCUGGGUCUGUAGGACUGAAUCUUUGCAAUCAAGAGACAACAGAGUUGUUAGUAACACUUAGCUCAAAUCUCUCAAAUGUUGUUAUCUCUCAGAGAACUGGGCCAGCACUGAGCUAUCCCAUGUGCCUGGAGAGCUUUGGGGAGGGCAAGAUGAUGUCCCACUUCUGUCUGGAAAAAAUGGCAAGAAAAUAAAAAGCAGUUUCCCUUCUCUCUCUCUGACCUGUAACUGAAGCAGUUCUGUAGGACAACAUGGACAUCACUGCUCUCCCCCAGUUUGGAUGAAAUAUUAAUAUAGUUCAUAAAUAUUAUCUUUCCCUGCUCCUCAGUCCUUCACUGCACAGAGAGCAGAUUUACUCAGAUUUACUUUACAGAUUUACAGAUUUACUUUGUUCCCAACAGCACCUUUCCAGCCUGAGUCCCAGUUUUCACAGGCACAAACUAAACAGACCUAAGGCAUUGGUCUGUUAUUGCCUGGAAUUCCCAGCUCCAUGUUCCCUGGAUUGCUCAAACAAACACUCACAGCAGUCUCACCUCAGCCCAGAGACUGUGCUCAGAGUUAGCCCAUCACCAGUGCUGCUGGUUCAGAUCAGAAAGAUGGAGGAGCAGCAAUGCUGGGAUGGCCUUGGCAUGGCUUUCCUGGAGCUCUAGGCUCUUAGACUCUCUCAAGCCUAAGCCUAGCUCCAACCCUCACAAAAAAGAAUGUCUUGUGUAAGCUGUUGAGUCCUCUGCUGGAAGAGAGGGAGCAGCUCAUCAGGAAUGCACUUCCGUCAUCUCUCUUGGCUCAGGAACACCUUCAUUAUCAUGCACAGCCAGGAUAAACAGGAGGCUGCCAAGAGAAAGGAGCUUGACCAACACCUGCAGGGGCUUUACCAGCUCUGAAAAGCAUCCCUGCUGCUCUGCUCCCAAAGCAUGGGAGGGGCUCUAAUGCUGUCCUGAGCCUUGCAAAACAAGUGCUGAGUUUACUUCCCCUCUGCUCCCCACUUUCCUGUGUGCGUCCCUGAGGGUGAGCCAGCACAAAGCUGCCAGCAGGCUGCACUACCAGGCAGAGCUCGGAGUGCUCCUGCCCUCACUGUCUCACGUUUGUUUGGGCUGGGCCAGGCAGGUGUGCCCAGGGGAGCUCCGGGGCUGCACCCCAGUGCAAGAUUGCAGAGGGAAAGUGCUGCAUUGUUCUCUGUCUGCAGUCACCUUGCCUGAACCCAGCUCUGAGGCAUGCUGGCACAGAGGGAUGUGAAGAGCUAUGGUAAAUGUCAAGGAAUAAUUCUAACAUGGAUCAGGAAUACCCAACAUAGCACUGAACUUCUGAAGACAGAUAUUUUGGGUGUUUCCAGCACUGCAGCAGAACAGUUUGUGUAGCUGCUGUGUCAGGUUGAGCCCAUUGCUAUGCACAGAGCAGCAAAGAGAGUGUUGCUAUUGGACUUUUUCCUUCACUUCUUACUUCUUGAAGCCAUGAUUACAGAGCAGAUUCCAUUCUUUUUAAUGUCAGAAGGAAGGCCUGAAUGCAGUAGUUAGUAUUUAGUAUUUGGCAAACUAUGCUGGAUUAGGGCAGGGUGAACAGUAGGAGAAAUAUUAGAAGUUAAUAUUCUCAUUCUAAUCUUGCUUUUUAUAUGGAUUACAAGUUAUGUCACUAGGGACUCAUAUUCCAAACUGGAGACAAGCAGCCCCUUGUGAUGGCUGGUGAAAUCAGCACCAGGAGGGAAAAUGGAGCAGCAGCCAGCUGGGGAGGCAAUGCCCUCCCAGGAGCUCCUCAGCUCAGUCCUGGUGCAAGAACAGGUCACAAACUUCUCUGGUGGGUGUUUGACUCAAGGCCUGUCUUCUGAAUCCUUUCCUCAGUGCUCCCAAGCUUCCCUCCUUGGGCCAUGAGCCAAGGAAUCAGGGAUAUCAACCAAGAGACCGUUUGUUUUUCCACGGGCUGUGUAGAUUGUGCUGUUGUUAUCAGCGAAACCAGGGCUGCUGGUGGCCUCCUGCUCUGCGGGCGGUGGAGGGCUCUGAUCUCCUGCUCCUGUUCUUUCUGAGGGUGGGGCAGCACCUUGCACGAGUUUCCAGAGCACCAAACAUGAGGUGAGCACUCUGAAACUGCUUCCAAAGACAAGCUGGUCCUACCACAGCUGUGUAUUUGGGCUUGCAGCAGAUGUGAGAGUGGUAGGUCAUCAUACCUGUGUGGUUGUGCAGCCAGAAUUGCUGAGCUUUCCAGUGCUCCUGUCCUUGCUCUGAGAUAAGGACAGGAAAAUGCUGUUGUUUUGAAGGUGCUGUUUAUCUGGUUAAGGGUUUUCUCUGGUCAAGUGGGGUGUAACAAGGCUGGAGCAGUUUUGAAGAAGGUCCAAGUCUGGAUUUUCGCUCAGAUCUGGAGCCAAAGAUCUCUGUCCUUUGGUGUUUGGUUCAGUUCUGCUCACAGCCCCACAGACAGAGGAUUUACCCGUGGGAGAUUCUGCUCUGUGCUGUUCUCCAUAAUCAACAGCCAUCCUUGAUGCACACCCUGAUAAGGCUCCAGGAAUCCACUCAUCCUGCUGUGAUAAAACCCUGUGCUGGUGCUCCAGCCCUGCACACCUGGGCACAGCCCUGGAGCAGCCUCUGCCUCUCUCGUGUGCCGAUUUGGCUCAUUUCCAGCUCUGUCUCUCUUUUGCUUCUCCCAUCCUCACAAAACCAAAGGCAAUCGUGUGUGUGUGCUUCAAGAGCCUUGCCAGGAACAAAGAGAAGUCCAAAUAUUUGUAUUGGGUUGUUACUCUUUCCAUUCAGGCAAUAAAUGACAGACUGCAGCAGAGUCUUUGUGUGCUGUGUGGGAUUUCCACUGUGCUGGCUCCAGCUUCACAGCCUCACCAAGAUGAAACACCUACAAUUAACAGUUGGGCUUUAACUGGAGGGAAAAUGACUGAGUGUGAUUGAAAUAUGGCCUUAAAAAAAACCCCCACCAAAACCCAAAACAAAAACCCACAAACAAACCAACCACAAAAAAAAAAACCUUGAGAAAAAUCUGCAGACCUUUCCUGUGUCAGAUGAGAAGUGCCUGGUCUCUGUGUGCAUGCAGAACAGAAUUUUCACUCCGAACUCUGGGAGCUGUGUUGGGGAUUUCUGUCCCAGAGCCUGGGACACAAGCUGAACACAGAUAUUUCUGAGCUGCUUUCCUCUGCAAAGUUCCAAGCUUAAAUCCAUGUGGAGGCCUGAGUUUCCUUGGGACUGAACUCUUUUUGUCUGAGCUUACCAAUAGGAUGAAGAUGUUUGCUAACAAAUUAAUUCCUGAACUUCAGAUCUCUGCUUCUGGGAAGAAGCUGGGCUUCAGUGCUUGGUAAAUCGAGGAAGAGAAUGGUGAGACAGCUCCAGGUGUGAGCUAGCUCAGGACACAAGCUGGUCUGCUGUCACUGGGACUGUUCAAAAUUUGAGAUAAAGGAAGGAAAAGCAUAAUCCAGCCUUGUGGGAUUUCACAUACCAACAUGCCAGACAAAUUCUGCUUGCUCUCUCAAGUAAAUUUGGUGUUCCCUGCUAGUGCCACCAUGAGUUUUCUCACUCAGAAGUUUCUUAUCAGGAAUUAAUUAGCCCUGAAACCUUAAGGAUUGACUCUUCAAACAUAAAUACUCCCUACAAUUACCUUCUCUUUGGAUGAUAUCUUUAGUGUUUCAUUUUACACAGCAGACAGUACUAAUAUUAUAACAUCAAGUUAAAUCACAUCUCCUUUGGGCAACUGAAAAGCUAUCAAAAGUGACAGGACCUUUAGAAAAAAACCUAAUAUCAGAAAAGAAUCAUGUCAGAAAUCUUGAUGGCUUCCUUUUUUAUCCUAUUCAUUACACAUAGCAGGGAAAAGCAGCACUGUUUGAGUCUGCUUCAGCUGCUGUUUCCUACAAGGAUCUAUUCUGGCAGACUCUUUAAGCUCCUUCCUUCUGAGGUCACUUCUGAGAUCACAUAAGAGCUGAGGAACCUCCCUCAGCCUGCUUCACCAAGUGCUCUGUCCUGUUUUGCUUCUGGGCUCAGGCUGGCACUUGAGAGUUACACCUACCUGGGUGUAAUAAAGUUUGUGGAUGUUUCAGGCAGAGAGUAGAAGGUGGAUAGAAUCUAUAUGGUCCACAUUAAAACUGCUAAAUUCAAUUUAUUACCACAGCCUGACCCCAACCUUCACUGACUGACACCUUUGAGGAGAGGAUGGCAGAGGGAUAAAUCCUUUCCUGCCCUUGAGUCUUCAUUACUGGCAGUUAGGAGAGGUCAAGGGCACAAGGAGAGAAUUUUGCCAAACAUAUUUAUUUUUCAAGAUACAUGAAAUAUAGGUCUGAAACCCUUCACCAAGGCUAUGUGUGCAUCACUAUUUAAAACCAGUUGAUUGAUAACAGUUCUUGGAAUUAGUCCAAGGAAUUCUGUUGGAAAUUUUCUGGAAAAUACAAACCUGUUACAGCCAAGUAC